rnacentral:rRNA from 1 species
UACGAGGGGUCCAAGCGUUGCUCGGAAUCAUUGGGCGUAAAGCGGGUGUAGGUGGCUUUGUAAGUCAGGAGUGAAAACCCGGGGCUCAACCCCGGGCCUGCAUUCGAUACGGGCAGACUAGAGUUCGGUAGGGGAGUCUGGAAUUCCUGGUGUAGCGGUGAAAUGCGCAGAUAUCAGGAGGAACACCGGUGGCGAAGGCGGGACUCUGGGCCGAUACUGACGCUGAGGAGCGAAAGCGUGGGGAGCGAACAGG